rnacentral:rRNA from 1 species
CCUGCGGAAGGAUCAUUAAUGAAUUCACUAUGGAGUUGUUGCUGGCCUCUAGGGGCAUGUGCACGCUUCACUAGUCUUUCAACCACCUGUGAACUUUUGAUAGAUCUGUGAAGUCGUCUCUCAAGUCGUCAGACUUGGUUUGCUGGGAUUUAAACGUCUCGGUGUGACAACGCAGUUUAUUUACUUAACACACCCCAAAUGUAUGUCUACGAAUGUCAUUUAAUGGGCCUUGUGCCUAUAAACCAUAAUACAACUUUCAACAACGGAUCUCUUGGCUCUCGCAUCGAUGAAGAACGCAGCGAAAUGCGAUAAGUAAUGUGAAUUGCAGAAUUCAGUGAAUCAUCGAAUCUUUGAACGCACCUUGCGCCCCUUGGUAUUCCGAGGGGCAUGCCUGUUUGAGUGUCAUUAAAUUCUCAAACUCACUUUGGUUUCUUUCCAAUUGUGAUGUUUGGAUUGUUGGGGGCUGCUGGCCUUGACAGGUCGGCUCCUCUUAAAUGCAUUAGCAGGACUUCUCAUUGCCUCUGCGCAUGAUGUGAUAAUUAUCACUCAUCAAUAGCACGCAUGAAUAGAGUCCAGCUCUCUAAUCGUCCGCAAGGACAAUUUGACAAUUUGACCUC